GGACUCGUAGCUCAGCGGUAGAGCGCUUCGUUCACAUCGAAGAGGCCAGAGGUUCGAGACCUCUCGAGUCCA
rnacentral:tRNA from 1 species